CCGAAAACCCAGAGUUUUCGUUAACUCAAGGUAUACUUACUCAGAGUUUGCACUAAACCGGCUUCCUGAAAUAGGGCCCAGUGAAUACAACUUCUGCUGACACUUUCUGGCCAGUCAUAUACCGUGUUGUUGGGAGUGUGGUAUUUGUCACCGUAGUAAUAUUAAUAUGUGUUACAUCGAAGCAAGGUUGCAAAGGAAAACCGAGGAAGACAACAAAACCAAGUCAGGAGCUCUACACUCAUAUCUAUGACAACGAUGUAUGAUGACGAUCCUCAUGUCUGAAAUGCUCUAAAAUCAGUCUGUAAAGCUCAAUUUAUUAUAAUCAGCAUAUUUUACUGAUGUGUGAGCUAAGCCUUGCUACAAUUUCUUAUUUAAAUCUACUGGCGUCUCACUGGUGUGUGUUACCGUGUACCCAGUUUAGCAUUUUUUGAAUUCCUGUAAAUCAAAUCAAACUGUAGAAGUGAAAUUUCCUACUUGAGAAACCACUAUUGUUUAGUCUGCAAAGACUGCGGGUGCAUGUGUGUGUGUGCGUAAGUGUGCAUGUGUGUACGUGCGUGUGUGUGGUGUAUGACACAUUGGAAAGGUAAUAGUUUUGCUUCCUGUACAGGUAACAGUUUUGCACACAUCCUGUGCAAACAGGACCUUUGACUGUAUUUAUGAUUGAAUUAGUGUGUUUGCAUCGCUG
ensembl:lncRNA